rnacentral:rRNA from 1 species
CACGUAGGGUGCGAGCGUUGUCCGGAAUCAUUGGGCGUAAAGAGCUCGUAGGCGGCUCUGUAAGUCGGGUGUGAAACCCCCAGGCUCAACCUGGGGACGCCACCCGAUACUGCUGUGGCUAGAGUCCAGUAGGGGAGUGUGGAAUUCCCGGUGUAGCGGUGAAAUGCGCAGAUAUCGGGAGGAACACCAGCGGCGAAGGCGGCACUCUGGGCUGGAACUGACGCUGAGGAGCGAAAGCGUGGGUAGCAAACAGG